GAAUGCGGCGUGCUACCUGCAGUCGAACGAUGACUCCGCUUCUGUGGUGGAUUAGUGGAGUACGGGUGAGUAACGUGUGGGCAAUCUGCCCUUCACUCUGGGACACGCCCUGGAAACGGGGUCGAGUACCUGAUAACACUCUGUCCCGCACGGGACGGGGUUGAAAGCUCCAGCGGUGAAUGAUGAACCCGCGGCCUAUCCACUUGUUGGAGGGGUAAUGGCCUACCAAGGCUACUACGGGUAGCCGGCCUGAAAAGGCGACCGGCCACCCUGGGACUGACACCCGGGCCAAACUCCUACGGGAGGCAGCAGUGGGGAAUAUUGCACAAUGGGCGAAUGCCUGAUGCCUCAACACCGCGUGAGGGAUGACCGCCUUCCGAUUGUAAACCUCUUUCGACAAGAAACAAGCGAAAGUGACGGUACCUGCACAACAAGCGCCCGCUAACUACGUGCCAGCAGCCGCGGUAAUACGUAGGGCGCAAGCGUUGUCCGGAAUUAUUGGGCGUAAAGAGCUCGUAGGCGGCUUGUCACGUCAGAUGUGAAAACCCGGGGCUUAACCCCGGGUCUGCAUUCGAUACGGGCUCCCUAUAGUGUGGUAGGAGAGAUCGGAAUUCCUGGUGUAGCGAUGAAAUGCGCAGAUAUCAGGAGGAACACCGGUGACGAAGACGGAUCUCUGUGGCCAUUACUGACGCUGAGGAGAGAAAGCGUGGGGAGCGAACAGGAUUAGAUACCCUGGUACUCCAACGCCGUACACGCUGGGAACUAGGUGUUGGCGACAUUCCAUCGUCCUCGGUGCCGCAGCUAACGCAUUAAGUUCCCCGCCUGGGGAGUACGGCCGCAAGGCUAAAACUCAAAGGAAUUGACGGGGGCCCGCACAAGCAGCGGAGCAUGUGGCUUAAUUGGACGCAACGCGAAGAACCUUACCAAGGCUUGACAUAUACCGGAAAGCAUCAGAGAUGGUGCCCCCCUUGUGGUCGGUAUACAGGUGGUGCAUGGCUGUCGUCAGCUCGUGUCGUGAGAUGUUGGGUUAAGUCCCGCAACGAGCGCAACCCUUGUUCUGUGUUGCCAGCAUGCCCUUGGGGGUGAUGGGGACUCACAGGAGACUGCCGGGGUCAACUCGGAGGAAGGUGGGGAGGACGUCAAGUCAUCAUGCCCGUUAUGUCUUGGGCUGCACACGUGCUACAAUGGCCGGUACAAUGAGCUGCGAUGCCGCGAGGCGGAGCGAAUCUCAAAAAGCCGGUUUCAGUUCGGAUUGGGGUUUGCAACUCGACCCCAUGAAGUAGGAGUUGCUAGUAAUUGCAGAUCAGCAUUGAUGCGGUGAAUACGUUCCCGGGCCUCGUACACACCGCCCGUCACGUCACGAAAGUCGGUAACACCCGAAGCCGGUGGCCCAACCCCUUGUGGGAGGGAGCUUCGAAGUGAUCUGAGGC
rnacentral:rRNA from 1 species